GAGUUUGAUCCUGGCUCAGAUUGAACGCUGGCGGCAGGCUUAACACAUGCAAGUCGAGCGGGGGAAGGUAGCUUGCUACUGGACCUAGCGGCGGACGGGUGAGUAAUGCUUAGGAAUCUGCCUAUUAGUGGGGGACAACAUCUCGAAAGGGAUGCUAAUACCGCAUACGUCCUACGGGAGAAAGCAGGGGAUCUUCGGACCUUGCGCUAAUAGAUGAGCCUAAGUCGGAUUAGCUAGUUGGUGGGGUAAAGGCCUACCAAGGCGACGAUCUGUAGCGGGUCUGAGAGGAUGAUCCGCCACACUGGGACUGAGACACGGCCCAGACUCCUACGGGAGGCAGCAGUGGGGAAUAUUGGACAAUGGGGGGAACCCUGAUCCAGCCAUGCCGCGUGUGUGAAGAAGGCCUUAUGGUUGUAAAGCACUUUAAGCGAGGAGGAGGCUACUUUAGUUAAUACCUAGAGAUAGUGGACGUUACUCGCAGAAUAAGCACCGGCUAACUCUGUGCCAGCAGCCGCGGUAAUACAGAGGGUGCGAGCGUUAAUCGGAUUUACUGGGCGUAAAGCGUGCGUAGGCGGCUUAUUAAGUCGGAUGUGAAAUCCCCGAGCUUAACUUGGGAAUUGCAUUCGAUACUGGUGAGCUAGAGUAUGGGAGAGGAUGGUAGAAUUCCAGGUGUAGCGGUGAAAUGCGUAGAGAUCUGGAGGAAUACCGAUGGCGAAGGCAGCCAUCUGGCCUAAUACUGACGCUGAGGUACGAAAGCAUGGGGAGCAAACAGGAUUAGAUACCCUGGUAGUC
rnacentral:rRNA from 1 species